GGAAAAGGGAAAGGGAGAGGGGAGGGAGUGAGAAGCAUCAGAGAGACAUUCUGCAAAGAUCAAUAAACUAAUUGUUUGAAAUCAACUGACCUUGCCUGGUGUCUCAGGCUGGGAGUGUCUGUGCCCCCACCACUCCUACCCCGGGCACUCCUUCUCUGCCUCAUUAACUACACCACUCCCAUGGCCUUCCAAAGUUCAGUAAAUUUUAUUAUCAAACUACAUAUAUAUCUCCAUAUGCGUCCCCAAGAUUAAUUUCUUGUGGUAAUACUCAAUAAAUCUAUAGAAUGAUAACCAGAAGAGUAUCAAUGAAAGACCGCCCAACGGGGAAGGUUCGACCAGAGUGCAGAAGACAACAAACUGUGCAAAUGCAAAGAAGAGUUAAUAAUUGUUGUAAUGCAAGCAUUAUUAAAAAAGCUGCCCGACUGCUGAGUUCUCCCGGCAUUCUGUGUGUUGCGCCUGACACUGUUACUGAGAUGGUAUGGCCUCCGCAGAGCCCUGAUAUCAACAUCAUCAGGGCUGUCUGGGAUUACCUGGAGAGAAAGAAGCAAGUGAGACAGCCAAAGUCUGCAGGAGAACUGUGGCAAGUUAUCCAAGAUGCUGGGAAUAACAUACCGGCUGAUUUUCUUAUUAAGAAUGCACAGCAGUGUACCUAAGAGAAUUGAUUCAGUUUCAAAGGCAAAGGGUGGUCGGGUCACACCAGAUAUUAAUUUGGUUUAGUUUUAUUAUGUUUACUGCUCUUUAUAGUAUUUUUUGAUAAUUAGAAACUUUUCAAUUCAUUAUUUUUGAAAGUGCCUUCGCUUUACUGAUUUUUUUUACAUGUGCCAAAGACUUUUGCACAGUACUGUAUGUCAAAUGAAAUUUGCUUUGGAUAGGGAGUCAAACAGUAUUGACAAAUCAUGCAAUUAGACAUGAUAUGCAGUUCAGGCAAAACCAAAUGGCAAAAAUUUACCUAUGUGUUGGAGUGGUCUACUCUUAUUCCUGUUGCAUUUAUCCAAUCUCAUUGUUACAAUCUCUACAAGUUCAAAAAUCUCUUCUACACUCUCUGGUCCUCAAGUUAAAAGCUAGUGAUACCCCUCUCCCAGGUCUCACCACUACAUUACAAAGAGUGGUGGAGAUCUAAAGGUUCAAUGAUCAAGGAUCAAAUUUAUUUGCCACAUACAUUUAUUAGGAAAUUGCUGUGGUGUAUUGGCACUAUAUGCAACAAAAAACAACAUUCAACAAUUAUAAAGAAUAAAGAAUUAUAUAAAAAUAAAGUUUCCUUCUGAAACAUUUAUAUAUUUUACCUGCAAUAUACACAGUACCAAAGUUUUUUUUUCUCCAAGAGGACCACAACUUUGUCGUGGUUUGGAGGCUCGUGUGCCUCAAUGACCCUGAGAGCGAUGUUGGCUGGAGUCAGGGCUUUAUGCUUUGGCUCCCAGUAGGGUCACCCAUGCCAAACAGGUCAAAGGGCCGAGGCCAGACUGAGAGUGGUCCACCGGUCCUCCAGGUUUUGGGGGUUCAGCUCAGCGCUAACAACCCUGACUGGUAAAACAAAACUGUUAUGGAAACAGCAAUGCAGAAUCCUACGUCUGAGUGUGGUGGUAUUACUGAGUCUCCACUUGGGACUUGCAUGACUAAGAGUACUGAAAACAGAGAAAGCUACUAACAUGAUGAAGAAAGCCCUGAACACCACCAGAGAUGAAGGACCUUCAUUGCUGCUCUAAAUGCCAAUGGUGUAAUGAGCAGUAAGUGCCAAAGACUUAUGGCCCAAUCUCUCCAACUUCUGCAUUUAUAGUUCACAAUCUCCUUCAAUCUACUGGAUGAAACUCAAAACAUUUUUUUAUGUUAAAGGAGCCAUAUGAUUGCAUAUUGUUGUUAACAACCUUAAUUGCACACAUUCCUGUGCGUUAUAUGAGUCAAAAAUGGAACAGUAACUCUAGACAAAUUAGAUCGCAGGACACUCCUCUUAGCCCACCCCGCUAUUCACUGCAAUUGUCCACCAUCCAAAAAUACUGAGGUCCAAUUUCGGAAGCAUUGCCUGGAAUUAAUUAGAAUAUACAGCACAAACCCAGGUCACUUAAGCUCAACCAAUCUAUGAAGGCAUAAAUGUUCCAUUUGAACUUUCCCAGUCCCCACCCCCAAUCCUACAUCUUUCUUCAUUCAAUUACACUAACAAAGUCUUGCAUUACCUCCUCCCUCUAUACUGAUCUAAUUUAUCCUUAAGGGCACCCAUACCAUGUACCUGAACCUCUCCAUGCGGCAUCAAAUAUCAAGCUCCAUUUCUUGGGUCAAUAUAUUUCUUCCGAGUUCCCUUUUGAAUUUGUUUGGUAUUGUUACCCCCAGUUUUAUUGUUUCUCGUACAUGUGGGUCGACCUUAUCAAGAAUUGGCAGACUCAGGCUCAGAAUCAGAAUCAGGUUUAUCAUACCCGACAUAUGUAAUGAAAUUUGUUAUUUUCUGCCAGCAGUAUUGUGUGAGACAUGAAAAAUUACUGUAAGUUAUAAUAAAAAUAGAACAAAUACAUAUUGCAAAGGAAAAGUGAGGUUGUGUUUAUGGGUUCAAAGACUGGAUGUGAUUAUGACAUAGCUAUUAUAAUUUCAUGGUAACAGGGUAGAGAUACUUCUCUACCAAAGGAAGUGUAAGGCAGUCCUUCCCUUCGCUAGCCAACCGGUCACCCUUGGGCAAGGUGCAGCACCUGCUUAGCCCCAUAUCCCUGAUCAGGGUCACGCGAAACCAUGGGAGCAGGUGGUGGAUGGUCAUAUGAGCAACUGGUGCAUAUCAGUCCUGACGCCAGGCGGGCAACCCCUGAAGCGUAUUGAUAAUGGCUGGGGUCACCCAUCUUGUAAAGACACUGUCCAGAAGAAGGCAAUGACAAACUACUUCUGUAGAAACAUUUGUCAAGAACAUUCAUGGUCAUGGAUAAGACCAUCGCCCUUGUCAAUACGUCAUGGCACAUAAUGAUGGCGAUGAUGAUUAUAAUUUCAGAGGCCUCUAUUAAGUUACUAGGUUUGCAUUUUAAUGGGUUCAUUAAAAUUUCUUUUGAGUUUCUCUUUAAUUUAAAGAGCAGUGACUCAGACUUUUUGGAACAUGGUGAGAUUUUCUCCUCCAAUAUUUUGUAAGGAGUCAAGUUGCUGUCCUAGCACAGGCAUUCACAUAGUUGUCUAACAGAUUUUCAUACACUUGAAUCUCCAAAUCCAUGAAAUUACUGGAAGCAAAAAAGAAUUUGUUGUGUUUUCACCCAAUUAGUUGUCAUAGUAUGAACUUCCAUCACUACCACAAUUGAAUCCGUCAAUUAGAAUGUUUGAAAGUGAUUAGAUUUGGACAAAAAUAUUUAAGGGAGGGGUUUUAAAGAAAAUAUGAUUCAAGCAGAUUGCUUCUGAGUAGAAAAUAACAAACUCAGUGGAUUUGGAAGUUAAGGGAAAUUUAACCAAUAUAAAAUUUCCAGUGUGGUUUUUAGAUAAGUUUAAUACCUGAAAGUCUAUCAAUAUUUAAUAAUUGUUUUCUCAUGAAGCAUAAUUUUCCAAAAACCCAAGUUAAAUGUUUUAGUGCAUGAUUCCUAUGCAGGUCAAAGUUGAAAUCUCAGGCACACACAACCGUUGUUCCUUCGAAUCUGCACAGGUGCAUGGCCACACAGUAACUGAAUUGCUCUCACGCACAUAGCCGUCAUUGCCUAGCAGCUAAUAUUUUCUUUUAUAUAAUAUACUGCGCAGUUUUCCAGCAAUUUAAAAAUUUCCUAAUCAGAAGAAUGGUUGGUCCAUGCAGCUGUAAAAAAUAAUUAGAGGGAACAUUUCACCCAACACUAAAACUUGCUAGUAUUCAAUUCACUCAGAGCCAAUAGUCUAUUGCAUUAAAACAAUCUCUUCCACAUUGAAAGUAGUUGGCUUGCUAAGUGUUUGAAUAUUGCCUCCCAGCUGCUGAACUCAAUAAAAUAUUUAGGGCCCAGAGUUUCCCACCCUUCUGGUUGUCACAGGGUAUAGAAUCACUGAGUGAUACAGCAAAAAUUAGUCCAUUCGACAUAUCAAGUCUGUGAAUAUUUCCAGAGAGGAUUUAGUCAUCCCCUUUCCCCUACUCUUUCCAGACAUUGUCAAAUUUCAGGAGUCAACCUAUAAUCUGCUUUCUGAAAUCCCAACAGAAUUUUGUAAUCUGCCUUGUGUUUGGGUGUAAACCACUCUUCAAGAGAAAAAAUGGAAAAAAAGUACA